GUCCACGCCCUAAACGAUGUCAACUGGUUGUUGGGUGACUUGAUCACUUAGUAACGUAGCUAACGCGCGAAGUUGACCGCCUGGGGAGUACGGUCGCAAGAUUAAAACUCAAAGGAAUUGACGGGGGCCCGCACAAGCGGUGGAUGAUGUGGAUUAAUUCGAUGCAACGCGAAAACCUUACCUACCCUUGACAUGCCAGGAACAUCGCAGAGAUGAGAGGGUGCUCGAAAGAGAGCCUGGACACAGGUGCUGCAUGGCUGUCGU
rnacentral:rRNA from 1 species